rnacentral:rRNA from 1 species
UGGGGAAUAUUGCACAAUGGGCGCAAGCCUGAUGCAGCCAUGCCGCGUGUGUGAAGAAGGCCUUCGGGUUGUAAAGCACUUUCAGCGAGGAGGAAGGUGGUGAACUUAAUACGUUCAUCAAUUGACGUUACUCGCAGAAGAAGCACCAGCUAACUCCGUGCCAGCAGCCGCGGUAAUACGGAGGGUGCAAGCGUUAAUCGGAAUUACUGGGCGUAAAGCGCACGCAGGCGGUUUGUUAAGUCAGAUGUGAAAUCCCCGGGCUCAACCUGGGAACUGCAUUUGAAACUGGCAAGCUAGAGUCUCGUAGAGGGGGGUAGAAUUCCAGGUGUAGCGGUGAAAUGCGUAGAGAUCUGGAGGAAUACCGGUGGCGAAGGCGGCCCCCUGGACGAAGACUGACGCUCAGGUGCGAAAAGCGUGGGGAGCAAAACAGGAUUAGAUACCCUGGUAGUCCACGCUGUAAAACGAUGUCGAUUUUGGAGGUUGUGCCCUUGAGGCGUGGCUUCCGGAGCUAACGCGUUAAAUCGACCGCCUGGGGAGUACGGCCGCAAGGUUAAAACUCAAAUGAAUUGACGGGGUCAUAGCUGUUUCC